AUUGAACGCUGGCGGCAGGCCUAACACAUGCAAGUCGAACGAGUGGCGGACGGGUGAGUAAUGUCUGGGAAACUGCCUGCUGGAGGGGGAUAACUACUGGAACCGGUAGCUAAUACCGCAUACCAUCAGAUGUGCCCAGAUGGGAUUAGCUUGUUUGUGGGGUAACGGCUCACCAAGGCGACGAUCCCUAGCUGGUCUGAGAGGAUGCCCAGCCACACGGGAACGGAGACACGGUCCAGACUCCUACGGGAGGACGCAGUGGGGAAUAUUGCACAAUGGGCGCGAGCCUGAUGCAGGCAUGGCGCGUGUAUGAAGAAGACCUUCGGGUUGUAACGUACGUUCAGCGGGGAGGCGUUACCCGCAGAAGAAGCACCGGCUAACUCCGUGCCAGCAGCCGCGGUAAUUC
rnacentral:rRNA from 1 species